rnacentral:lncRNA from 1 species
AUCUGCUUUUUUUAAAUAAAGUUUUAUUGGACCACAGCCAUAUGUAUUCAUUUACAUAUGGGCUAUGGAUACUUUUAUGUAGUUGUGACAGAGACCAUGUGGCCCAGAAAACCUAAAACAUUUACUGUCUCUUCUUUUACAGAUAAAUGUACUGACACCUACUCUGGAACAAAGACAGGCAGUUUGGGUACAUAAAUGAGUAUACAUGUAUAGUUUAUAUUUACAUUUAUAUUCAUAUUUUUAGGUACAUGCUUACCUGUAUAUAGGUCUAUCUAUAGUUAGGUGUUCUCAAAUAAUCUCCCAGUACAUUUCAAAAUAUACUUAGGCCACCUAGAAUGCAGUGUCCACUGAAGACAUGUCUUGGGAAUGCUUACUGUUUGCUGCCUUUGAAGUGUGUGAAUAGCAUGAAUGUUUUA